rnacentral:rRNA from 1 species
CCUACGGGCGGCUGCAGUGGGGAAUAUUGCACAAUGGGCGCAAGCCUGAUGCAGCCAUGCCGCGUGUGUGAAGAAGGCCUUCGGGUUGUAAAGCACUUUCAGCGGGGAGGAAGGCGGUGAGGUUAAUAACCUAAUCGAUUGACGUUACCCGCAGAAGAAGCACCGGCUAACUCCGUGCCAGCAGCCGCGGUAAUACGGAGGGUGCAAGCGUUAAUCGGAAUUACUGGGCGUAAAGCCCACGCAGGCGGUCUGUCAAGUCGGAUGUGAAAUCCCCGGGCUCAACCUGGGAACUGCAUUCGAAACUGGCAGGCUAGAGUCUUGUAGAGGGGGGUAGAAUUCCAGGUGUAGCGGUGAAAUGCGUAGAGAUCUGGAGGAAUACCGGUGGCGAAGGCGGCCCCCUGGACAAAGACUGACGCUCAGGUGCGAAAGCGUGGGGAGCAAACAGGAUUAGAUACCCGAGUAGUC